AUUGAACGCUGGCGGCAUGCCUUACACAUGCAAGUCGAACGGCAGCACGGGAGCAAUCCUGGUGGCGAGUGGCGAACGGGUGAGUAACGCAUCGGAACGUGCCCAGUCGUGGGGGAUAACGUAGAGAAAUUUACGCUAAUACCGCAUACGAUCUAUGGAUGAAAGCAGGGGAUCGCAAGACCUUGCGCGAUUGGAGCGGCCGAUGUCAGAUUAGGUAGUUGGUGGGGUAAAGGCCCACCAAGCCGACGAUCUGUAGCUGGUCUGAGAGGACGACCAGCCACACUGGGACUGAGACACGGACCAGACUCCUACGGGAGGCAGCAGUGGGGAAUUUUGGACAGUGGGCGAAAGCCUGAUCCAGCCACGCCGCGUGCAGGAUGAAGGCCUUCGGGUUGUAAACUGCUUUUGUACGGAACGAAAAGCUCUGGGUUAAUACCCUGGGGUCAUGACGGUACCGUAAGAAUAAGCACCGGCUAACUACGUGCCAGCCGCCGCGGUAAGAC
rnacentral:rRNA from 1 species